ACAGAAAGACAGAGAGAAAGAAGGAGAGAUAACAACACGUGGCUGAAAAAUACCUAGCACAAACUUCAAUAACGCGAUAGCGUGCCAGCGGUACUCUACGUAGUCGCUCGAGCUGCCAAAUGCAGAUCUCCCUCUCAAAUCACAUAUUAACGUCUUAAGAAAAGGACUUAUUGGAUAACGUAGUUUAAAAAUACAUUAUGACGGAUUCAAAGACGAUGUGAUCAUGAUUGGAAUACCUUUGGUUACCCAGACCUCGGGCGAAACAACGUGAUCGAAGCAAUACGUAAAUGGACACUUAAGGGAGCUCGUACCAAUUACAACUAGAAUGACAGAAACCAGAUCUUCUGGUGGUGAUUUUAAUUGCUGACUUGACUUAAUAUCAGAAUCUUCAAAGCUUAUUGAGUGAGCAGAUGUCGACGGUACAUCGAGGUUAGAUGUCUGUGAUGGUGAGGAUGUGGACGGAGUAGACAUGAGUGGCUGAUCUGAUGACAGAGACUCUCUAGCUAACCUUCGUUUCUUCAGUGGAGUGACAAAAUCUGCAGUACAAAGUUGUUUUUUUUUGUUGUCAACAAACAGCAGAUCCAACACUUGAGUCCAUUUUACCAGAAACUGAAAUGUGACUCAUUCUCCGAUGAAGAUGCUCCAAUGAGCUACGUGGACUAUGGAAGCAAGUAACAAAUGCAGUUUCUUCUAUGUUGACCUCCAAUGGUUCUG